GUCAGCAGAAGGGUCCUCGCCCAGUGUGGACCCUCGUCCUAGGCAUGUGUCGGCCUCGCGGCCCAAUGACCAACGGCCCGUCUUCAAGGAGUCCUCGCCCUCUAUAAUGAAGCCUCGCUCAAUGCUUACCUUCCUCGCCAUCAGCAUGGUCUAAGGUACAAGGCCCAGCGUCAGGUAAGACCCGGUCUUCAGCCGAGUCCUCGCCCGAUAUGGAAUCUCGCCCGAUGUGGAUCCUCGCCCUUAACGUGGGUCAAGUCACGCGGCCCAGCAUCUGGCGGCCCAGGUCUUCGAUGGGGUCCUCGCCCUCAGCUAUUGAGUCCUCGCCCAAUACGCUUCUUCCUCGCCCAGUGCGGAAAGGACCAGAUACGCCUGCUUCUCAGGCCUGAUUAUUAUUGUUUUAUCCUGGGCCCAGGCCCACCAUCAGCCUCGCCCUAAGAGAGGACGGAGGGCUAGCCCAUACAGCUGAGUCCGAGGAGGUCCACCUGGGCUAGUGUUGGUCAGCCCACCUAGUUCCAUGCUCCUUGGAGGAGGCUGGGCUCCAGAAGCCCACAUCCGUCUGAUCUAAGGCGGUGGCCCAUCGCUGGAACCAAGGAAUAAGAAACCUAUUCUGAUUAGGUUACUUGUUCCCCAAGAACUACGUCUGGCUUGAUCCCUAUAAAUAGGGUACGUAGGCACAUUGUUUGGGGAGAGGUCGCAACCCUUGCAAGAGCGAAUACUCCUUCGAUCUUGUGAGAAAACCCUAAUCCCCCAAACGAUCUCAGCCAAAACCAAAAUCACCACCCAUACUCCGUCGUCCGCCGUCAUCGUCCACCACAAGUUCCAGCAACCCUCCCCGAAUCUUGUUAUCACCAGAUUCCUCCGUUAACAAUUGGCGCUAGAAGGAGGGGCUUUUUGACAUCUAUUGGAGGAAGGAUGUCACAUGAGACGAAGAACGACGUUGUCAAUCUAAGGAAGGGAAGGAAGACCUCGGAGACUCCGGCUACCAAUCAGCUACCGUCGCCUCUCUUGACGUCCGGAACCAGCUAUCAGGAACAUCUUGAAGGAAAGGAUAUUCUGAGGACAUGGAACGCUGGACAUCAGAAUUAUUAUCAGGAAAGUUCAUAUUCUCCUUCUCUAAAUUUGUGGUUAUAUUUUCUGUUUUGAUAUUUGCGUAACAGUCCUGGAAUCGACAAGAUCACUCCCAAGACUCGGGGGUAGCAAUGGUACGUUCCCUCCGACCACGCUAUCAUGUAAGCAUGCUAUUAACAACAAAUUUAGAACCUUUUGUAUAUCUUUUUUCGAAUCUAUAUAUUUGUGUCUUGUUUGGAGCGUCAAGACCAGGGACAACCUCCCUGCUGCUUUGGAAUCCGUCUUCAUGUGUAAUCGAGACACAUGUUUGACACCCUCGGGAUGCCUGGACAACCAUCUUCAUAAGAUGGUUCGAAAGAAUUCCUAUGCCCUGGUGGCCCGUACUUCCGGUAAACCAUCAGGAAGACCCUCAGGGGUGCAGCUUUGGAAAACCCUCAGGGGUUGGAGUUUUUAUUCGAAAAUAUUUUUUAUUUGUUCGUCCCCAAGUGCGGUGGAGGGCGACGACCCACCUACUUGGAUGCCUGGGAUCUAAGUGGAUGAUGUCCCUACUGUCCCAGAGGUUUAUGUUCCCCAAGUGUGGUGGAGGGCGACGACCCACCUACUUGGAUGCCUAGGAUCUAAGUGGAUGAUGUCCCUACUGUCCUAGAUGCCUGGGAUUUAAGUAGAUGAUUUCCCUACUGUCCCGGAGGUUGAUCGUCCCCAAGUGCGGUGGAGGGCGACGACCCACCUACUUGGAUGCCUAGGAUUUAAGUGGAUGAUGUCCCUACUGUCCUAGAUGCCUGGGAUUUAAGUAGAUGAUUUCCCUACUGUCCCGGAGGUUGAUCGUCCCCAAGUGCGGUGGAGGGCGACGACCCACCUACUUGGAUGCCUAGGAUUUAAGUGGAUGAUGUCCCUACUGUCCUAGAUGCCUGGGAUUUAAGUAGAUGAUUUCCCUACUGUCCCGGAGGUUGUUCGUCCCCAAGUGCGGUGGAGGGCGACGACCCACCUACUUGGAUGCCUAGGAUUUAAGUGGAUGAUGUCCCUACUGUCCUAGAUGCCUGGGAUUUAAGUAGAUGAUUUCCCUACUGUCCCGGAGGUUGUUCGUCCCCAAGUGCGGUGGAGGGCGACGACCCACCUACUUGGAUGCCUAGGAUUUAAGUGGAUGAUGUCCCUACUGUCCUAGAUGCCUGGGAUUUAAGUAGAUGAUUUCCCUACUGUCCCGGAGGUUGUUCGUCCCCAAGUGCGGUGGAGGGCGACGACCCACCUACUUGGAUGCCUAGGAUUUAAGUGGAUGAUGUCCCUACUGUCCUAGAUGCCUGGGAUUUAAGUAGAUGAUUUCCCUACUGUCCCGGAGGUUGUUCGUCCCCAAGUGCGGUGGAGGGCGACGACCCACCUACUUGGAUGCCUAGGAUCUAAGUGGAUGAUGUCCCUACUGUCCUAGAUGCCUGGGAUUUAAGUAGAUGAUUUCCCUACUGUCCCGGAGGUUGUUCGUCCCCAAGUGCGGUGGAGGGCGACGACCCACCUACUUGGAUGCCUAGGAUCUAAGUGGAUGAUGUCCCUACUGUCCUAGAUGCCUGGGAUUUAAGUAGAUGAUUUCCCUACUGUCCCGGAGGUUGUUCGUCCCCAAGUGCGGUGGAGGGCGACGACCCACCUACUUGGAUGCCUGGGAUCUAAGUGGAUGAUGUCCCUACUGUCCCAGAGGUUUAUGUUCCCCAAGUGUGGUGGAGGGCGACGACCCACCUACUUGGAUGCCUGGAAUCUAAGUGGAUGAUUUCCCUACUGUUCCAGAGGUUGUUCGUCCCCAAGUGCGGUGGAGGGCGACGACCCACUUACUUGGAUGCCUGGGAUCUAAGUGGAUGAUGUCCCUACUGUCCCAGAGGUUUAUGUUUCCCCCAAGUGUGGUGGAUGGCGGCGACCCACCUACUUGGAUGCCUGGAAUCUAAGUGGAUGAUUUCCCUACUGUUCCAGAGGUUCGUUUUUCCCCAAGUGUGGUGAGGGCAACGACCCACCUACUUGGAUGCCUGGAAUCUAAGUGGAUGAUUUCCCUACUGUUCCAGAGGUUGUUUUUCCCCAAGUGUGGUGGAGGGCAACAACCCACCUAGUUGGAUGCCUAGGAUCUAAGUGGAUGAUGUCCCUACUGUCCUAGAUGCCUGGGAUUUAAGUAGAUGAUUUCCCUACUGUCCCGGAGGUUGAUCGUCCCCAAGUGCGGUGGAGGGCGACGACCCACCUACUUGGAUGCCUAGGAUUUAAGUGGAUGUUGUCCCUACUGUCCUAGAUGCCUGGGAUUUAAGUAGAUGAUUUCCCUACUGUCCCGGAGGUUGUUCGUCCCCAAGUAAGGUGGAGGGCGACGACCCACCUUCUUGGAUGCCUAGGAUUUAAGUAGAUGAUGUCCCUACUGUCCUAGAUGCCUGGGAUUUAAGUAGAUGAUUUCCUUACGGAGGGCUCGCACUCCAGAUGUAUUUAGGACUGUUCAAAAUAAAAAGUUCAUUCUUUCUGCUGCUCAGUGGUGGUGGCCUCACCGUCGCCCUUGUCUCCUGCCUCCCCCUGUGUGGUCUCGCCACCUUUCUUGGCCAACGCUUCCUUCUCUGAAAGGAUCUUCGCCUCAAGAUCCUUCCUCGCCUUCUCAAUGGUGGUAGCAUUAGCCUCUUUGAAGCCCGCCAUGAAAGCAGGAGUAGAAGGGGCGAAGAGCAUCGUCCAGUCGUAGUCAAGAUCCGCAGCCAAGAAAUUGGUAAGAUAUUCCGAGAACCCAAGGCGGUAUGCAUCGCUCAGCUCUUUGGAUUUGGAGGCUUUCUCGCCCUCAAGCUCAGACUGGAGACCUGCGAUGGUAGAGUUGGCGAGGUUGGCAGCCGAAGUUGAGGACUCAGUGAGUUCAUUGAGGGUAUCCUGAACACUCUUGAUAUGGGUAUCCCUUGUCUUGAUAUCGUCUUUGUAUUUCUCAUGGAGGUCUUUCCGUCGAUCCGCGGACGCUGUAGCCUCGCUCUUUAGGUUCGUCUUCGCCUCUUCCAGCUCUGCUAUGUGAGCAUUUUUGGCGGCAAGGACGUUGAGGCCCUGAAAAAACGCCUCGCCCAAUCCGAACUUGAAGCCAUGCUCAGCUUCAUCAGCUUUCUUUGAUGACCAGACUUUGACGUCCUCAGCAUCAUAGUUGACUUCGGCCAAAACACUGAAGGCGACAGACACAGCAGAGGGGGUUGACUCCUCGCCCUUUCUUAGUUUCCUUUUUGAGGCUGCAACUUCCUCUUCGUUUCCCCAUUUUCGCUUGUUCCUCGCUUUCAAUUCUUUCUCCGGUGGAGGGGUCUGGUUCCGGCAAGGAGUAGGAGUGGCAUUCACGGAGAUGGUGGGGCGAAGCUGAGAAGCAGGAACUUGCCUGCCAGCAAAAGGGUUGUUACCAAAAGGAAGUUCGGCCAUCUUUCCUGAAAAGAAUCCAAGUGCAAACAUUAGGCGACGAAUAUAUGAUUGGCAAGGAACAUGUAUUAAGGGAAAAAAGUAAAGCGUGAAAAAAAGAUAAAGGGCGAGACGCAAGUAGGCAAAGGGCGACGCUUCUACCUUUACCAGUUAAGGACACUAAUGACCUUUUAAGGCACUCUAGAGCUUUCUUCGACCUAUUCCUCUUAUCGAAUUUUAUCAGAGGGACUUGGCCAAAACCCUUGUGAUAAAAGCCAUAUUCGCGAAGCGAUUCCGGAGUAACAAUCUCGUCGAGCUUCUUCUGGGCGGCAUCAAGGUUGUCAAUAGCCUGGGCACGAGUCAAGAGCUCGCCCUCGAGGUCGGUUUGUUGAGGUUUAUCUGAUAAGGAGUUAAAGUUAGGUACAGAUGAUAGGCGAGAAGGUGAGAAGAAGGCGAUGAAGAUUAUACUUACAAGGGUUAAGAUUAAAAGACACCCUUUGGCGAGGAAUGUCGUAGAGGUAGAAGUAAUCUGGCUUCCAGAAUUUCAUGUUGCUAGGAUUUCCAACGGAGAAGCCUUUCUUGUGAUGGCAAGGGUGGAGCGUUAGAUAGAAAAAGCCAUAAUCGUCGCCUGUCUUCCUUAAUGAGAGAAAGUGAUCCAUCUCAAGCAUUGAGGGUUCGGGGAACCCAAGGCGGCGAUACAAUAUGUAAAUACCUAUGGCAAGCCUCCAGCUGUUGGGACCGACUUGGAUUGGGGCGACGUCAUAAUGGUUUACCAACUUUAGCAACCACGGGCGCAUAGGCCAUCCGAAACCCAGCUCCACAAGCUUAUUGGUUACCACCAUGCGAGGACAUGGGAGACCGUCAAUGUUGAACCUGUGCAUCCUCAUGAAGCGGCAAGGCCUAUACCACUUGCCUUGGAGAUUGUAGUACUCAAUCAUCCACAUUAUUUCGUCCGAGGAAAUUUGCGAAGAGAGUCCCGCACAGGUUACUGUCUUAUUGACAUGGCGCUGUCGAUUCCUCUCUUUCUCUGGGACAUCUUCGUCAAAAUCAAAGUCAUAGUCGUGAUUGAAGGUCUCUGGAACAAAAGGGUUGUUAGCCGGAGAGGGGCAUUCCAUCGCAUAAUGAAUUGGCGAGGCAGAUAUAGUGUCUGCAUCAUCCUCGCCCUCAGAUAAGUGUUUACUACGGCCUGAUUCCCCGGUUUUAGUUUCAUUAUUGUCCUCUCCAUCUAUGUCCUCCUCGCCCUUUGAGUGAUCAGGGUAGGCAUCUCUAACCACUGGAAGCUGCUUCCCCUUGCCAACUCCCAAGAGGGGGCGAGAAUGACCGGAACGUUCGAGGUUUUUGAGAAGGGAAUCUGGAGAAUCGUCAUCACUCUGGGGUUUGUACACACUUUCUUCAUCGCUCGAAGAGAUGCUGAGAAUUUCGAGUGGAUCUGGCCGGCAAGAGGGACCGGCCUCGUCCUGAUGAGCCCUCAGCCACACCUGAUCUAAGUCGUGGUCAGCUUUUGGGUCGACGUCAAGAGAUGACCACGAAUCGACCUAAGCAUUAGCAUUGGGAGGAGAUUGUUGAGAGUUCGUCAUCUGAAAGAGAGAUGGCGGGGAAGGAAUCAGUAUGGGGCUACAGAUAAGGAAGAAAAGAGAAAAUAAAGUCACGAAGGGCGACGACGCUGGUAAUAGGUCCUCGCCUUAAGUAAGCAUGUUAUCGAUUUGAUAGAGCCUUCGCCUGCAAUUACUCUAACUCUUGCGAGCAACGCUUAUGUUAAUAAUUGGGAAACCCUAGGUGCCUACGUGGACAAAUAAAAUUGGAUUUGAAAAGGAAGUAAGUGAACAUGCGUACCUGCAAUUUCUGAAAGCGGUAGAAGGUGCGAGGCUUUGAGAAAAGCGUCGCCUGAUGCUACCAAUUCAGGAGAAUAAUCCAGCAGCACUUCGUGUGUAUACUUUUGGAAUGAAAGGAGCUGCUCUUAUAUAGAGGAAGGAUGAGGCGGGAAAAUUACUGACAUCAAAGCCACGUGGCACGCCCCGAAUGGCCAGUUUUCUCACGCUUCGAGGUAGGACUUUUGAAUCCUGCUGGCGUCUCUUGUGUAGCCAAUGUGAUUUUUCCACCAUUUUUGCAAGAAUCUCUGAGCCAAGACGAAAAUUUUGAUAUAUGACGGGCAACAACAGGCGAGCACUUACCAUCUUCCUCGCCCGAUGCUUCUUUAAACCCUUUCGCACUUAUGUUACAAGGAACUGGGGGGUAGUCGUUAUAGCCAAAUUUUGAGUCAUCCUUCGAAGAUAACGUCUACCUCAGCGGAUGAUCGUCCUCGCCCUCAGCAGAUGGUCAUCCUCUCACUCAGCGGAUGAUCGUCCUCGCCCUCAGCAGAUGAUCGUCCUCUCGCUCAGCUGAUGAUCGUCGUCUACCUCAGCUGAUAAGCUCGUCCUGAGCUGAUGAUCGUCCUCGCCCUCAGCAGAUGAUCGUCCUCUCCCUUAGCUGAUAAGCUUCGUCUACCUCAGCUGAUGAUCAUCCUCGCCCUCAGCAGAUGAUCGUCCUCUCACUCAGCUGAUGAGCUUCGUCUACCUCGGCUGAUGAUCAUCCUCGCCCUCAGCAGAUGAUCGUCAUCUCCCUCAGCCGAUGAGCUUCGUCUACCUCAGCUGAUGAUCGUCCUCGCCCUCAGCAGAUGAUCAUCCUCUCACUCAGCUGAUGAGUUUCGUCUACCGCAGCUGAUGAUCGUCCUCUCACUCAUCUAUCGAUCGUCCUCUCACUCAGCUGUUGACCAUCUUUUCACUCAACUGAUCGUCUCGCUCAGCUAAGCCUCACCUUCAGCUCGACCCCUUAACGGAGUCCUCGCUUGAGGGGCGUCCUCGCCCGUUGCUGAUUCUAGCAAUUAGCUAACCGGAGUGGAAGACUUAUACCAUCCUCGCCUUCAAUGAGUCCUCUCCUGGAGUCAUGUCCGGAAUGUGAUACUUGAUUAUCUAAAUGACUUGGCUCUUUGAUGGAGUCCUCGCCCAAGGAUGGAGCUCGCCAGAGUACUAUUACAGGAAACCAGCCAACUAACCAUCUUCCUCGCCUGAAGCUUCUUUAAACCCUUUCGCACUUAUGCUUCAAGGGCUUGGGGGGUAGUUGUUAUGGCCAAAUAUCAACUCGGAAGAUGAUUGCAUAAAUCUCGCCUUAAUUCAAGGAAAGGACCGAUCUCCGGGAUCGUCCUCGCCCAUUACGUGGACCUCGCCAUCUAUGUGGCCCAGGAAGUGAGGACCAGCAACAGAUGGACCCGGGUCAGCAGAAGGGUCCUCGCCCAGUGUGGACCCUCGUCCUAGGCAUGUGUCGGCCUCGCGGCCCAAUGACCAACGGCCCGUCUUCAAGGAGUCCUCGCCCUCUAUAAUGAAGCCUCGCUCAAUGCUUACCUUCCUCGCCAUCAGCAUGGUCUAAGGUACAAGGCCCAGCGUCAGGUAAGACCCGGUCUUCAGCCGAGUCCUCGCCCGAUAUGGAAUCUCGCCCGAUGUGGAUCCUCGCCCUUAACGUGGGUCAAGUCACGCGGCCCAGCAUCUGGCGGCCCAGGUCUUCGAUGGGGUCCUCGCCCUCAGCUAUUGAGUCCUCGCCCAAUACGCUUCUUCCUCGCCCAGUGCGGAAAGGACCAGAUACGCCUGCUUCUCAGGCCUGAUUAUUAUUGUUUUAUCUUGGGCCCAGGCCCACC
rnacentral:lncRNA from 1 species